ACCUGGUUGGCUCAGUGGUUGAGCAUCUGCCUUUGGCUCAGGGCAUGAUCCAGGGGUCCUGGGAUCGAGUCCCACAUCAGGCU
rnacentral:tRNA from 1 species